UUGAAGACGACGAGGUAGAUAGGGCAGAGGUGGAAGUGUGGUAACACAUGGAGCUGACUGUUACUAAUAGGUCGAGGGCAUAACCAAA
rnacentral:rRNA from 1 species